rnacentral:rRNA from 1 species
UACGUAGGGGGCUAGCGUUGUCCGGAUUUAUUGGGCGUAAAGAGCGUGUAGGCGGCCAGGUAGGUCUGCUGUGAAAACUCGAGGCUCAACCUCGAGAUGUCGGCGGAAACCAUCUGGCUAGAGUCCGGAAGAGGAGAAUGGAAUUCCUGGUGUAGCGGUGAAAUGCGCAGAUAUCAGGAAGAACACCCGUGGCGAAGGCGGUUCUCUGGGACGGUACUGACGCUGAGACGCGAAAGCGUGGGGAGCGAACAGG